rnacentral:rRNA from 1 species
GUACACUCCUACGGGAGGCAGCAGUGGGGAAUUUUGGACAAUGGGCGAAAGCCUGAUCCAGCCAUGCCGCGUGCAGGAUGAAGGCCUUCGGGUUGUAAACUGCUUUUGUACGGAACGAAACGGCCUUUUCUAAUAAAGAGGGCUAAUGACGGUACCGUAAGAAUAAGCACCGGCUAACUACGUGCCAGCAGCCGCGGUAAUACGUAGGGUGCAAGCGUUAAUCGGAAUUACUGGGCGUAAAGCGUGCGCAGGCGGUUAUGUAAGACAGUUGUGAAAUCCCCGGGCUCAACCUGGGAACUGCAUCUGUGACUGCAUAGCUAGAGUACGGUAGAGGGGGAUGGAAUUCCGCGUGUAGCAGUGAAAUGCGUAGAUAUGCGGAGGAACACCGAUGGCGAAGGCAAUCCCCUGGACCUGUACUGACGCUCAUGCACGAAAGCGUGGGGAGCAAACAGGAUUAGAUACCCGGGUAGUCCCAUGA